rfam:Vitis vinifera, whole genome shotgun sequence of line PN40024, unoriented chromosome 8, chr8
GGGAUUGUAGUUCAAUUGGUGACAACAAUGCUAUUGCAAGGCGGAAGUUGCGGGUUCGAGCCCCGUCAGUCCCA